CGUCUGGCACCGCCGUUUCACCCGCAGAUCGCGGGCUGAAGACGAGGGUGGGGGACCCACUUCCGACGCUCGCCGCACGGUGAGCGUCUCGGGGUGAAGCCGGUCCUCGCCGGCCGGGCACCUGACUGCCCGAACCCGACAGCUCACCUCACAGGCGUACGUCAGGAAAGGA
rnacentral:sRNA from 2 species